AGUCUACUGGUGGCGUACAACAAGUGGCAGAAACAGACUUGCCUGACAGUGGUCCAUGCUUUGAUCAGACUCCAUCUGAACAUGUUUAUGUUGAAACCGAUCCAGCUACAAACACUCCACAGGUUGGCCAGGCUUCUCUUGAUUCGGAGA